rnacentral:rRNA from 1 species
CCUACGGGAGGCAGCAGUGGGGAAUAUUGGGCAAUGGGCGCAAGCCUGACCCAGCAACGCCGCGUGAAGGAAGAAGGCUUUCGGGUUGUAAACUUCUUUUGUCAGGGACGAAGCAAGUGACGGUACCUGACGAAUAAGCCACGGCUAACUACGUGCCAGCAGCCGCGGUAAUACGGAGGUGGCAAGCGUUAUCCGGAUUUACUGGGUGUAAAGGGCGUGUAGGCGGGGAAGUAAGUCAGAUGUGAAAACCACGGGCUCAACCUGUGGCCUGCAUUUGAAACUGUUUUUCUUGAGUGCUGGAGAGGCAAGCGGAAUUCCGGGUGUAGCGGUGAAAUGCGUAGAUAUACGGAGGAACACCAGUGGCGAAGGCGGAUUGCUGGACAGUAACUGACGCUGAGGCGCGAAAGCGUGGGGAGCAAACAGGAUUAGAUACCCUUGUAGUC